rnacentral:rRNA from 1 species
GAUGAACGCUGGCGGCGUGCUUAACACAUGCAAGUCGAACGAGAAGUGAAGACGGAAACCUUCGGGCGGAAGGCUUUAUUUCGAGUGGCGGACGGGGGAGUAACGCGUGGGUAACCUGCCUCAUACAGGGGGAUAACAGUUGGAAACGACUGUUAAUACCGCAUAAGACCACAGCACCGCAUGGUGCGGGGGUAAAAACUCCGGUGGUAUGAGAUGGACCCGCGUUCGAUUAGCAAGUUGGCGGGGUAACGGCCCACCAAAGCGACGAUCGAUAGCCGAUCUGAGAGGAUGACCGGCCACAUUGGGACUGAGACACGGCCCAAACUCCUACGGGAGGCAGCAGUGGGGAAUAUUGCACAAUGGGGGAAACCCUGAUGCAGCGACGCCGCGUGAGUGAAGAAGUAUUUCGGUAUGUAAAGCUCUAUCAGCAGGGAAGAAAAUGACGGUACCUGAGUAAGAAGCCCCGGCUAACUACGUG